rnacentral:lncRNA from 1 species
UCUGAUAAAAAAUUACUCACACAACUUUUCUCUCCAAACACUCCUCUUCUCAAAUUUCCGCUUCAUUUCUCUCAAUCAGCUCAACUUUUCUUAGGGAUUCUUCAAAUUGUCACUUUCAAAUCUGUUAAAUCGCUUCUCAUUUCACAAAAUGUGAACUCUAUUUAGGUAAGUGCUCAAAUUUCUUUCAGAUGGUAUUUUUUCCCCCUAAUCUUACUUCUAUUUCUUUAACCCAUUCAUAAAUCUGUUGCAGAUUCAAGUGUUUUGAAGUUUUAAGGCAAAAGGAUCUCAAAAAUCUACAGAAAUCAGAAGUUGCUGGAAGGUUUUAAGAAGAAAGGUUCGAAGUUUGAUUAUCACUACAAGAUUUUGAUGUUUUCGAAGUUUUGAAGUUGUUCAAAG